UUCCAAUUGUGAACUUAUUACCUUGCAUCGUAAUUGGCUAUGACCAUAAGAAAUCAUUUAUUCUUCAGCUUCAGAUAUUCAUGGAUAUGCUCCCUCUCUUUCAUUAGGAACAUUUUGCUGGCAGUGAGGAAGCUUUUGACUGAAUAGGUUUAAAAUCCUUAUAUAGAAGAUUUUUCAAGUUUGCCAAUAUUUUAACAGUGUGCAAUAGGACUUUUACAAAGUAGAGGUUUUAGACUUAAAGUUUCAAAUUGUGGCAGGUGGUACUGUAGAUUUCAGGGCGUUUUCUUGGAUUGCUCGCAUUUCUCUGAUGGACUAUACCUGAUGCCAGUGGGAAAGAAUCUUAAGUGUCUUCAUUUCAAGAUUGCUACAGCCCUCGGCAUUUAUUAUCACAUUCUUAGUUCUCAGGUUGGGACUUGAAUUAUUGCUGCAGAGCAGUAAUGGUUAAAAUAAGAUUUUGGAAUUUACUAAAGGGAAUUUUUUUUUGUUCAAAUAAGUUUUAGAUUAGGAUUUAACAUGUAAAGAUUGUUACAGGAUAAAUACAUUGUAUUUUCUGCAUUGUGUGAAAUAAUUUUUAUUGAAAAUCAAGGGACAUUUAGAAAGAAGUUCUAUAGCAAUUAUGUUUCCUGCUUAAAGUAAAAAUUCCUAGAAUUUAGUUUAAAAAUGUAAUCUUUUAAAUUUCAGACUGAUACCCACAGUAUUUUCAUAAUUCCAUGUUUUUAUAAAAUACUGAUCACCACUUUAUAUCCGUGUAGGCAAAUAAUAUGUGAGCAGAGAAUAAUUUGCACUAAUUAUUGUAAAUACUUAUCCUCUUUAAAUGAGUAUAGUAAAAGGUCUAAUUCCAUGAAAGCCUGAAAAGUAAUUGAGUGCUUGGUCGAGGAGAGUCAACCCAGGAAGGAUUUUAACCUGGUGCCAAGGUUAAAAUGACACUUCUCUACUGCCUAAUUCUAUGACAGAACUUGAUUUUUUUUUUUUAACUCGGAUUUUUAACAUUGCUGAUAGAAAUUAUGUUCCUGUGUUUCACAUGUAAAAGUACAUAUAGCCACGUUAAAUAUAUUGAACAAAAUAUUUUACAUAGUCAUAUAUUUAAAAUUUUCAAGAGAUUAGCCACUAAUUUUACAAGGAAAAAAGCCUUUUGUUAUUUGACAUAUAGUUUUUUCUUCUUAGUUCUGAUUCAGAAAUGGCAUAUAGUUCUUAGCUGUUUCACAAUGUAUAUACACUGUUUUCUGUAGGAAUGGAAUAGAUAAUUAUAUAUAGGAUUGUGGUGUUUUUUUUAGCCAUGUACCAAAUGGGAAUAAUGAUUACUUAAUAAUCAUUAUUUUGAAGCCUUAUGUUACCAAAACAUACAGUCAAAAAGUAGAAAUUUAUGGAAUACUUUUUGAAAAGAGUUUAUUUUGUCCUUGCUAAAGGGAACGCUUUCACAGUAGUUUGUGCAUCAUUCCUUUUUGUAGAAAUUGAAAUUUCUUCUCUGAUCAGCAUUUGGUUAGCCAUGGCACAUCCUGCUUUUAAGAUGUUUUUGAGGAUUAGUAAGCUUUUUGUCUCAGUAAGUCUUUUGUUUAUACUAUAAGGUUGCCACCUCACUUAGUUCAGGUGUAACUUGUCAGCCACCAUGCAAGGAACAUGGUCAGCAUCAGGAGACAGUGUUAACCAGGCUGGUGCUUUGCAUGGUAGCAAAGCGUUGCCCUUGGUAAGCGCUCUCGGGCAAAAUGUAGAUGAAAGGUAAAGGUACUGAGACUUAGGCAUGCUGGACAAACUUGUGGCUUUUCUUAAGUCAUAUCUUGUUAGGAAUUUCUACAAUAACACACUCAUGCCCCUAGAUCAGACCAGAGCGCAUUCCAAUGCCAAUCAGAAGUCAUGUGUGGGCUUAACAAUGUUAGAUGAUUCAACUUCUGUUUCAUUGCUGUAGAACCAUGUGAACUAUUCCAUUAUGGCAGAUACUUAAGCAUCAACUUUAAUAAAUUCUAUGUUCUGUUU
rnacentral:lncRNA from 1 species